rnacentral:RNase_P_RNA from 1 species
CUUUGGAGCCUGGCUGUCGCUCUAAGUUCUUUGAUCCCAAGACAAGGGUAACACCCUUGUCCGCUGAAUCCUUGGAGAGGAAAGUCCGGACACCAUAGGGCAGGAUGCUGUGCGAGCUUUCACCGGCAAGCACAGGCGUUAUGGGGUAAACCCAUGGCGACGGAGAGUGUCACAGAAAAUAUACCGCCUGAAUUAUAUCAGCUUGCUGGUAUAGUUUAGGUAAGGGUGAAAAGGUGGGGUAAAAGCCCACCGCGCUCUGCCGCGAGGCGGACGGCAUGAAAAACCCCUUCUGGUGCAAGACAAAAUAAGAGGCUGGGCGGCUCGUCCUAUAGCCUCGGGUAUGUCGCAUUUACUGGAGUGCUGCGCAAGUAGUAUGAAGGUAGACUCUAUAUUGCAAAAUGUAGUGAGAGAAAUGACCGCUGAACUCUAUUAAUUUAGAGGGAACAGAAUCCGGCUUAUCGGCUUCAGGGCUAA